rnacentral:rRNA from 1 species
UACGUAGGGUGCGAGCGUGUCCGGAAUUACUGGGCGUAAAGAGCUCGUAGGUGGUUUGUCGCGUUGUCCGUGAAAACUCACAGCUUAACUGUGGGCGUGCGGGCGAUACGGGCAGACUGGAGUACUGCAGGGGAGACUGGAAUUCCUGGUGUAGCGGUGGAAUGCGCAGAUAUUCAGGGAGGAACACCUGCGGCGAAGGCGGGUUGCUGGGCUGACACUGACGCUGAGGCGCGAAAGCUAGGGGAGCGAACGGGG